rnacentral:rRNA from 1 species
GAAAGCGGCUNUCUGGUCUGUCACUGACGCUGAGGCUCGAAAGCGUGGGUAGCGAACAGGAUUAGAUACCCUGGUAGUCCACGCCGUAAACGAUGAGUGCUAGGUGUUAGGCCCUUUCCGGGGCUUAGUGCCGGAGCUAACGCAAUAAGCACUCCGCCUGGGGAGUACGACCGCAAGGUUGAAACUCAAAGGAAUUGACGGGGGCCCGCACAAGCGGUGGAGCAUGUGGUUUAAUUCGAAGCAACGCGAAGAACCUUACCAGGUCUUGACAUCCCGAUGCUAUUCUUAGAGAUAGGAAGUUACUUCGGUACAUCGGAGACAGGUGGUGCAUGGUUGUCGUCAGCUCGUGUCGUGAGAUGUUGGGUUAAGUCCCGCAACGAGCGCAACCCUUAUUGUUAGUUGCCAUCAUUAAGUUGGGCACUCUAGCGAGACUGCCGGUAAUAAACCGGAGGAAGGUGGGGGUGACGUCAAAUCAUCAUGCCCCUUAUGACCUGGGCUACACACGUGCUACAAUGGUCGGUACAACGAGUUGCGAGCCGGUGACGGCAAGCUAAUCUCUGAAAGCCGAUCUCAGUUCGGAUUGGAGGCUGCAACUCGCCUCCAUGAAGUCGGAAUCGCUAGUAAUCGCGGAUCAGCACGCCGCGGUGAAUACGUUCCCGGGCCUUGUACACACCGCCCGUCACCACGAGAGUUUGUAACACCCGAAGUCGGUGAGGUAACCUUUUAGGG